rnacentral:rRNA from 1 species
UACGUAGGGACCAAGCGUUGUUCGGAUUUACUGGGCGUAAAGGGAGCGUAGGCGGCGUGUCAAGUCAGUUGUGAAAUCUCCGAGCUUAACUCGGAACGGUCAACUGAUACUGUCAUGCUAGAGUGCAGAAGGGGCAAUCGGAAUUCUUGGUGUAGCGGUGAAAUGCGUAGAUAUCAAGAGGAACACCAGAGGUGAAGACGGGUUGCUGGGCUGACACUGACGCUGAGGCUCGAAAGCUAGGGUAGCAAACGGG